CGCCUGGGGAAUAGGGAGUGGAGCUAGGCACUGCAGGGCCUGGAUUCACCUCUACAACGCCAGAGGAACAUAGGAGGAGAAGAAUAAGGAUAUUUAUCCAUGGAUUUAAGAAGAAUGUCUGGAUUGGUACAUAUAAAAAAGACAGAAUCUGGCAGUGGGUUGACAGCACACCAUUUAAACCUACGUAUUGGAUGGAAGGGGAACCUAAUAACUUGAAUGACGAGGUGGCUUGUGUUGAGAUCUCACAGACGGCAUCAGACCCAUUGAAGAGUUGGAAGGAUGGACCGUGUUCUCCAAAACACUGGGUGUGUGAAAAACCAUUCACACCGUGUUA